rnacentral:rRNA from 1 species
UGGUGGAGUGAUUUGUCUGGUUAAUUCCGUUAACGAACGAGACCUCGACCUUUAAAUAGUAUCACUAACCCUCCCGGGGUUGGGGCAGACACUUCUUAGAGGGACUAUCGGUUCUUAGCCGAUGGAAGUUCGAGGCAAUAACA